ensembl:misc_RNA 7SK 7SK RNA
GGAUAUGAGGGCACUCUGGCUGCAACGUCUAUCAAUCCAUUGAUCACUAAAGUUGAUUAUGUAUAUCUAGUUGCUAGGCAGGUGACCCCUUCCUCACUGCUCCAUAUGCAUCUCUCCCUAAGGAGUACACUCAGUUGAAAAUGACUUUCCCAGAGAGAAGAGGACCAUUCUUUGGUUGAGGCAUGAGUAGCUGCACUUCCCUACUAGAACUUCCAAACAUGCACUCACAAGCAUAAGCAAACAUAGAAAAAGUAGAUAAACUGAUGUGUUCGAAAUUCCAUCAAGAAAGUGAACU